UACAGAGGGGGCAAGCGUUGUUCGGAAUUACUGGGCGUAAAGGGCGCGUAAGCGGCCUGCUAAGUCGAACGUGAAAUCCCCGAGCUCAACUCGGGAACUGCGUCCGAUACUGACAGGCUUGAAUCCGGGAGAGGGAUGCGGAAUUCCAGGUGUAGCGGUGAAAUGCGUAGAUAUCUGGAGGAACACCGGUGGCGAAGGCGGCAUCCUGGACCGGCAUUGACGCUGAGGCGCGAAAGCUAGGGGAGCAAACGGG
rnacentral:rRNA from 1 species